CCCCACUGUCUGCUCUCUAAAGCAACCAGUAUUUAUUUGGUUAAAAAGCAGCUAAUUAAUCUGUUUGAUCUUGAUGUGGAAAUGAACCGUAUCGAAUUCCAGGUCAAAUCACUUAUCCUUGUAGAAUGUUUUUUUAACCUUUUGAGGUGUGUUUCAUCAGAUUACGGACUAUCAGAAGUUUACUUGUCCUCAAUAUUCCGGUCUGCAUGGUGACAUGGCUAUUGUUCUAAUAACAGUGCUUUUAAGUAUAAACCUAAUAUUGUCUACAAAAAGAAAAGUCACAUUUAUCAAUGGACUGUGAAAAGUUGUAAGGGGAUUGUGUAACUUAAUUAUACAAGCAGUGUCAUAUAUGAUACUAUUCUUGAAAAAUACCUUGCCAUCUGGUCCCAUUUAUCUGAGAUGAGAUCUGUUGUUAUUUUUCUUUUUCUCUUCUUAAGUUUCGCUAAGCUGCCAGCAAAUAUUAUUUUCCUUAUUUUAAACAUGAAGAAACAAAGGUCCAGAUAGGCCAACUAACUUAUCCAAAGUAGUGGUAGAGCCAGAACAUGAACCCAAGAUGGUACCAAAGCUCCUGGUAUUUUUUUUUUCAAACUUUUAUUUUGAAAUAAUCAUGAAUUUUUAAGGAGUGGCAAAAAAUGUGCAGGGAAGUUCCAUGUAUCUUUCACUUAGUUUUGCCUCAUGGUAACAUCUUGCAUAACUAUAUUUUAAUAUAAAAAUCAGGAAUAGACAUGAGUACAGUCCACGGAACUCAUUCAGAUUUGUAAUAAUCACUACCAUAAUUAAAAUAUGGAGUGGUUCUAGCACCAAAAGGCUCUCUUGUGCUAGCCCAUUAUAGCCACUCCCCUUUCUUCCUGCUAUCCCUAACUCCUAGUAACCACCCAUCUGUUCUCCAUCUCUAAAUUAUUUCAAUAGUGUCAUGUAAAUGAAAUCUCACAGGAUAUAAGUUUUUGAGAUUGGCUGUUUUCUCAGCCUAAUUUCUUUGAGAUCCAUUUGUUUUGUGUAUCAAUAGCUUAUUUCUUAUAUUGCUGAGCAGGAUUUCAUCAUAUACAUGAAUCAGUGUAACCUGUUGAAGGACAUUUGAUAGUUCUGGCUUUGCUUGAACAUGACUUUUAGUUUUUUGGGAUAAAUGCCUUCUGAGGUCUGAAUGUUUGUGUUCCCCCAGAAUGCAUAGGUUAAAACUUAACCUCCAACGUGAUGGUAUUAAGAGGUGGGGCCUUUGGGGGCUGAUUUUAUCAUGAGGACUCAGCCCUUAUUAAUGGGAUUAGUGCCAUGAUUAAAGAGACCAGAGGGACCUUUUUCACUCCUUCUACCCUGUGUGGACACAUGGAGGGGUGCCAUCUAUGAGGAACGGGCUUUCACCAGGCAUUGAAUCUGCUGGUGCCUUGAUCUUGGAUUUCCCAGUCUCCAGAACCAUGAGCAAUACAUUUCUAUCAUCUCUAAAUUACCUUGUCUAUGGUAGUCUUGUUACAGCAGCCUGAAUGGACUAAGACAGUACCCAAGAGUACACUGCUAUAGCCUAUUAUUAUAAUUGAAUGUUUCGUUUUAUAAGAAACUGACAAAAUUUUCCAGAGUGGUUGUACUAUUUUAUGUUUCUAUCAGCCAUGUACAAGUGAUCCCGAUUCUCUUCAUCCUUGUCAGCAUUUGGUCUGAUGUUUUUAAUGGUCACUGUGGCCUUGAUUUACAUUUCUUCAAUGGCUAGUAAUCUUGAGCAUCUUUCAAUGUGCUUAUUUGCCUUCCGUAUCUCCUCUUUGAUGAAAUGUCCUUGUUUUUCACCCAUUUUCUAAUAGGAUUGUUUGAAUUUUUUUUUUAACUGCUGAGUUUUGAGAGUUCAUUAUAUAUUCUAGACACAAGGCCUUUUUUGGAUAUGUAAUUUGCAAAUACUUUCUUGUCUUUCCCUCCUUUAACAGGUUCUUCUGCAGGGAAAAAGUUUUUCAUUUUGAUGACAUCCAAUUUGACAAUUUUUCCUCUUAUGGUUUUGGUGUGAAGUCUAAAGACCUUUGUCUACUCCCAGACUCCAAAGAUUUUUUUCCUUUUUGUUUUCCCUACAAGUUUUAUAGUUUUACAUGGAAGUCUAUGAUUAAUUGUGAGUAAAUUUUUGUAUAAUGUGUGAGGUUUAGGUUGAAAGGCUCUUCUUCUCUUUCUCCUCCUCCUUCCCUCCCCUCUUCCUCUCCCUCCUCCCUUAUCUUCCUUUCCCACCUCCUCUAUCAAUGUCCAGUUGCUCUAGCAAUAUUUUAGAAAAUACUGUUUUCCUCCCUUGCAUCACUUUUCACCUCUGUUAAAAAUCAUCUGGGGCCGGGCAUGGUGGCUCACGCCUGUAAUCCCAGCAUUUGGGAGACCAAGGUAGGAAAAUCAGGACCCUUUUAUAAAUGGGCUGGCACAUCUGCAGAUUGUCCUGGGUCACUGGGAAGGGGCGGAGCUGCCUCUUGUGCCUCCCAGGGACUGACUUUGCAUUUCCCUUGGCUCCCUCUCUGUGGCUUUGUUCCUCAUUUUCAUCACCAGCCUGCUACUAGGACUGGUCCCUGCUGUGGUUAUGUUAACAUCUUCUAGGGUUUACACCCCAACCCUAAGAAGUCAUGUGAAAUCUUACAGAAGAGCUGCUAACAAUCAAGGGCAUGAAUACUGCUUUCCGAAUUUCACUAAUAUUGGCCAGCUCCUUUUAGAGUUGCCCUGGAACAGAGAAAUUUACAGCCAACUGUAAAUCAGAAAUUGUGGUUUGGAAAAAAAUCUCUACAUAUGAAGUCAAGAAAGCACAAUGAAGCCUUCUGGUUAAUGAAUUUAGUGAGUUUCAGAUUUUCCUCUCAUGGAGAGUCCUGGAAAAUCACUUCAGAAAAGAGUGCUGUGGGUCACUUGUAGAAGAAACUGCUUUGCAUGCAUAUAUGAUUUAGAGCAUUCUAAAGGCUAACAUGGAUUCUGGCCCAGCCUCUGAUGAAUAGAAUCAAAACCUAUUGAUUACCAGACCAAGAAUUGGAAACAAAGCCAUUUGAUACAGCUUUUAGGUUUAUGACUAGCCAGUCAGAUCUCUCUCAGCUGCUGAAUGUAGAAGUUCACUGGACACAUGCGUGUAUUUACCGAAGCCUG
rnacentral:lncRNA from 1 species